AACGUAGGUGGCGAGCGUUAUCCGGAUUUACUGGGCGUAAAGGGUGUGCAGGUGGACUGAUAAGUGGUGUAUGAAAUCGCCGCGCUCAACGUGGCGGGGUUAUGCCAGACUGCCAGUCUAGAGUACGGGAGAGGGAUGUGGAAUUCCGGGUGUAGUGGUGGAAAUGCGUAGAGAUCCGGAGGAACCCCAGAGGCGAAGGCGGCAUCCUGGCCCGCUACUGACACUCAGACACGACAGCAUGGGGAGCGAACGGGG
rnacentral:rRNA from 1 species